UACAUGGGGUGCAAACGUUGCUCGGAAUUAUUGGGCGUAAAGCGCGCGUAGGCGGUUACUCAAGUCGGAUGUGAAAGCCCUCGGCUUAACUGAGGAAGUGCACCCGAAACUGAGUAGCUAGAGUACUAAAGAGGGUCGCGGAAUUCCCGGUGUAGAGGUGAAAUUCGUAGAUAUUCGGAAGAACACCAGUGGCGAAGGCGACUUACUGGACACAUAUUGACGCUGAGGUGCGAAAGCGUGGGGAGCAAACAGG
rnacentral:rRNA from 1 species